rnacentral:rRNA from 1 species
GUAAACUAUGAGAGCUAGCCGUCGGGCAGUAUACUGUUCGGUGGCGCAGUGAACGCAUUAAGCUCUCCGCCUGGGGAGUACGGUCGCAAGAUUAAAACUCAAAGGAAUUGACGGGGGCCCGCCCAAGCGGUGGAGCAUGUGGUUUAAUUCGAAGCAACGUGCAGACCCUUACCAGCCCUUGACAUCCCGAUCGCGGUUACCCGAGAUGGUAUCCUUCAGUUAGCCCGGAUCGGUGACAGGUGCUGCAUGGCAGUAGUCAGCUCGUGUCGUGAGAUGUUGGGUUAAGUCCCGCAACGAGCGCAACCCUCGCCUUUAGUUCCCAUCAUUCAGUUGGGCACUCUAAGGGGACUGCCGGUGAUAAGCCGACAGGAAGGUGGGGAUGACGUCAAGUCCUCAUGGCCCUUUCGGGCUGGGCUACACACGUGCUACAAUGGUGGUGACAGUGGGCAGCGAGACCGGGAGGUCGAGCUAAUCUCCAAAAGCCAUCUCAGUUCGGAUUGCACUCUGCAACUCGAGUGCAUGAAGUUGGAAUCGCUCGUAAUCGUGGAUCAGAAUGCCACGGUGAAUACGUUCCCGGGCCUUGUACACACCGCCCGUCACACCAUGGGAGUUGGUUUUACCCGAAGGUGCUGUGCUAACCGCAAGGAGGC